NNNNNNNNNNNNGAUCUGGCUGCAACAUCUGUCACCCUAUUGAUCACCAGGGUUGACUCGGCUGAUCUGGCUGGCUAGGCGGGUGUCCCCUUCCUCCCUCACCGCUCCAUGUGUGUCCCUCCCAAAGCUGUGCACUCAGUCAAAGAGAACGACCUUCCCUGAGUAGAGGAGCACCGGUCUUCAGUCAAGGGUACAAGAGUAGCUAUGCUCCCCUGCUAGAACCUCCAAACAAGCUCUCAAAAUACACGGCCAUCCUUUGCUACAUAUCAAGAUAAAGGGUAACCUGGGCUAAUGAGACCUUGUCUCAAAAAUGUUU
rnacentral:sRNA from 1 species